UUUUAGAUUGAGAUCAACCUCAGAUUAUAUACUUCUGGCUGAAGUACGGAGGGUGGAUGUCGAGAGGAGAAGAGAGAAGACUAGGAGAAGGCUCAGCAGAGAUGAUGAGGCCUUAAACUAGAACAGGUACCUGGCAUUGGAGCUUGACACACAGUCACUGUUGAACUGAAGUUUGGAUUUCCAAAUCUACAAAGAUGAAGAUCAAAUUGUAGACAACGGCUCCAGCAGAUCUUUAAAGCCUCACCUCUGCUCUCUCCUAUCCUCUUCGCUCCUCUAUUUCUAUAUCCAAUUUGCUUGCCCUGUCAUCAAUCCAUGCACUCUGCCUAAGAUACCUAUUCCCACUUUUGGAACAGCCAGACACUUUUUUGUGUAUGUUUUUGGACCAACUUAAAUGCCACCUCAUCUCUGAAGCUCCCUCUGACUGUCUCCUGGGCAGUUAUUGCCCUAGCAUCAUGUUCCUAAGCAUCUUAUGUAAUUUCUUUCAUAUUACAAUUUUUAUGUUGGGUUCCCCACUGGUUGAGAAUUCUUUAAAAGAGAGCUAGUGACUUAUUUAUCUUUUUAUCCCCAAAGUCUGGCAUGUGCCUGGCAUUUAGGAAAUACAAAGUAAUGUUUAAAAAAUAAAUUGUUAAUGUGAAUUUUACCUUAAGCAUAAUCUGUCACCAUAGGGCACAACAGGGCUAUCAAUUGAUUACAUUAAAUUAAAAAAAAAAAAAAAACUCUUCCUUUCUCUACUUUUUGACCAAGAAUAAAAGUUAAAAUCAAAUUAUAUAACAUUUUAGAUAAAUAUUUUUAUGAUUUAAGGCAUUAGAAACAUCAUGCAUUUUCUAUAUGAUUCUUCAAGUAUAGCAUCAGCAUCACUUGGAAACCUGUUAGAAAUGUAAAUUCUUGUGCCUCAUCUCAGACUUAUGAAAUCAGAAAUUCUGGGCAUGAAGUUCAGUAAUCUGUAUUUUAACAAAUCCCCCAAAGAUGAUUCUGAUGCACUUUUUUUUUUAAUUUUUAAGAGUUUAUUUAUAUAUGAGAGAGAAAGAGACGAGAGAGACAGAGAGAGACAGAGAGAGAGAGAGAGAGAGAGAGAGAAAGCGAGCUUGAGCUGGCAAGAAACAGAGAGAGAAAGAGGGAGAGAAUCCCAAGCAGACUCCAUGCUGUCAGUGCAGAGCCCAACUCAGGGCUUGAUAUCACAAACUGUGAGAUCAUGACCUGAGCUGAAAUCAAGAGUUGGACGCUUACGUGACUGAGCUGCCCAGAUGCCCUGACCAAGUGUUAGUUUCUUAAGCAUUUUUAUUUGUUCUAGAACAAUGUUUCUCAGAUUUUAGAAUGCAGCAGAAUUGAGGCUUCUGGGUGGCUCAGUUGGUUAAACGUCUGAUUCUUGGUUUUAGCUCAGGCCAUGAUCCCAGGGUCAUGGGAUUGAGCUCUGCAUCAGGCUGAGCAUGGAGCCUAGUUAGGAUUCUCUCUCAUAUCUCUCUCUCUCUCUCUCUCUCUCUCUCUCUCUCUCUUUCCCUCUCCUUUCUCUCUCUCCCUCUGCCCUUCUUCCCUGCUUGUAAUCUCAUUCUCUCUUAAAAAACAAAACAAAACAAACAAAAAAACCCUUACACUUGGUCGACAACUAUUUUUAUGUAAUCAGAAAUAAAUCUUGCGUGCUUAAGACAA